rnacentral:rRNA from 1 species
GACGAACGCUGGCGGCGCGCCUAACACAUGCAAGUCGAACGAGCGAGAGAGAGCUUGCUUUCUCUAGCGAGUGGCGAACGGGUGAGUAACGCGUGAGGAACCUGCCUCAAAGAGGGGGACAACAGUUGGAAACGACUGCUAAUACCGCAUAAGCUCACGGCUCGGCAUCGAGCAGAGGGAAAAGGAGCAAUCCGCUUUGAGAUGGCCUCGCGUCCGAUUAGCUAGUUGGUGAGGUAACGGCCCACCAAGGCGACGAUCGGUAGCCGGACUGAGAGGGUGAACGGCCACAUUGGGACUGAGACACGGCCCAGACUCCUACGGGAGGCAGCAGUGGGGAAUAUUGCACAAUGGGGGAAACCCUGAUGCAGCGACGCCGCGUGGAGGAAGAAGGUCUUCGGAUUGUAAACUCCUGUUGUUGAUGAAGAUAAUGACGGUACUCAACAAGGAAGUGACGGCUAACUACGUGCCAGCAGCCGCAGUAA